rnacentral:rRNA from 1 species
UAAUACGGAGGGUGCAAGCGUUAUCCGGAUUCACUGGGUUUAAAGGGUGCGUAGGCGGGCAGGUAAGUCAGUGGUGAAAUCCCCGAGCUUAACUCGGGAACUGCCGUUGAUACUAUCUGUCUUGAAUACCGUGGAGGUGAGCGGAAUAUGUCAUGUAGCGGUGAAAUGCUUAGAUAUGACAUAGAACACCAAUUGCGAAGGCAGCUCGCUACACGGUCAUUGACGCUGAGGCACGAAAGCGUGGGGAUCAAACAGG